GUAGACGGUUGAUCGCUGAGGCUUAUAACCUUAGAGGAAAGUCCAUGCUUGCAUAAGCUGAAACGCUUAUAAACGAUUGUGUAGUCUAUAAAAAAUCAAGGACUAGCGUGAUUAAUUAGAUCACGACGACGAAGUUAAGACUAAAGAAAGCACACAUCCUCUGCUUUUCAUGCCUUAACUUCAUAAAGUGCCACAGAGACGAGUUUUUUAGAAAUAAAAAAGUGAAACGUUGGUAAACUCCACAAGCAAGAAACCUAAAUUAUGGUAAGGGAAUUGUUAACUUAUAAUAACAAUAAGUUAAUGGGUAAUGCAACAAUUACAGAUAAAUGAUCAACGCCUUUUAAAAAGGUACAGAACAUGGCUUAUAGUC
rnacentral:RNase_P_RNA from 1 species